rnacentral:tRNA from 1 species
GGCCCUGUAGUGAAGUUCAUGGCGGGUUGCAAGCUCGUCGAUGCGCAUUUGUAGUGUGCCGGGGUCU